CCUACGGGUGGCAGCAGUGGGGAAUAUUGCGCAAUGGGCGAAAGCCUGACGCAGCGACGCCGCGUGAGGGAUGGAGUUCUUCGGAUCGUAAACCUCUAUCAGCAGGGAAGAACGGUCACUGUGCUAAUCAGCAGUGAAUUGACGGUACCCGCAAAGGAAGCACCGGCUAACUCCGUGCCAGCAGCCGCGGUAAUACGGAGGGUGCGAGCGUUAAUCGGAAUUACUGGGCGGAAAGCGAUCGUAGGCGGUAUGUCAAGUCAAGGGUGAAAUCCCCGGGCUCAACGUGGGAACUGCCUUUGAAACUGGCAAGCUGGAGUGUGUGAGAGGAUAGUGGAAUUCCAGGUGUAGGAGUGAAAUGCGUAGAUAUCUGGAGGAACAUCAGUGGCGAAGGCGACUAUCUGGAACAUAACUGACGCUGAGGAGCGAAAGCGUGGGUAGCAAACAGGAUUAGAUACCCGAGUAGUC
rnacentral:rRNA from 1 species